rnacentral:rRNA from 1 species
AUGUUCGGCAUUCAAGUUGAUGACAAAGAUAAGGAGAAGGAUGACAGUUCUUUGCCUGCUGAUGGUAACACAGGCCCUAGAAAUGCAAAUGAGGAUGAAGAACAACUGAUGAGAGAGGCUGCAGAUGAUGUGGAUGAUGCAAAUGAUAAUGAGCUGGUUUGUUUGUAUGACAAAGAGAACCCAGUUAUUGAGGUGGGAAAGUUGUGGCCAAGCAUGAAGGAGUUUAGGAUGUCUUUCAGGACCUAUGCAGUGAAAAAAGAGUUUGAUGCCAAGACUAUGUGGACUGAUCGAAAGAAAUUUUAUGCUCGGUGCAAAGGUUAUGAUGGUGGUGGCAAUCCUUGCAAAUGCCACUAUCCUACUGCAAUAAUUCUCGCUAAGAAGAGUGCCCAUGUCAUGGCAAUUCCACCCAGAAGAUAA